AUAUAUAAUGACUCCUUGGAGAUUGUUUCACUACUGAGACAGUCAUAUUAUCAACAAAGCAUCACACCUUUAUUAUCAUAGCGCUUAUCUCAAAUAAACCAUUGGUAUAAAAAAUGUAAAAAUCACAAUUAGAAAACACAGUUACCAGAAAUGAUUAAAUGCAAAUGUACUUUCAAAUGCUGCCAUGUUUAGCUUGUACAACUCAUUUAUUAAAAACAGACAGUGCAGUUCUUUGCAACAUAACACAUUUAGACACCAUUCAUGAAGCAAAAAUAAAUAAAUCCAUGGGUCGGUUUAAAGCUGGAAUUCAUGCAUUUCAUAUACAUACUCUAUCAGGCUCAAAAUUACAAAGAUGAGUUAACUAGUAAGGCUAAACUGCAUCACCUCUCAAAUGCACAUGUUGACAGAAUAGAUUACAUUGCAUGUAAUCUGUCUGUAUGUUAUCAGAGGCCAGAUCUGAGUGGAUUUCAGAAGAUGUUUCUUGGUGGAUGAUCUUGUGAAGGAACACCAGUGUAGAACCUGGGGAACGUAGAGAACACUCUAUUCUGUUCAGGCACACUGACAGACGGCUCCUCACUUGACCCUAUGACAGAAAGGUGGUUAGUUUAACAUUUCUGAUUAUGCAAUAUGUGACGAGAUCAUAUCCCCCACAGCUAGAUAACAUCCCAAUGAGCUCAUUGGCCAGACACUUCAGUAAAUUCAGAAGUCAAGUACAUGACUGCAAAGAAACAUUCAUUAUUUGAUGCCAUUAGUACCUUGAUCAGUGCCCCAGUUGUUUUGAGAUGGAGGGAUGUCUUCCUUCUCAUCAGGACCCAAGUCCUCAAUCAGCACCUGGUCCAGGGUGUCACUACCCUGGUCACUGCCUUCUGUGUACAGGGUCUCCAACAGGGAUGGUGCAGGGGCAGUAACAGGGUUAUACAUUGGAGAAGGGGCAACAACAGCCACAGGAGCAGGGGCAAGGAUAGGGAUAGGGUCUGAGACGGGGGGAACGUACGCCGGUAGUGAUUCUGGCGGGCCAGGGUCCACCGGAAGGAAUGGGGAUAGUGAGAUCAAGGUAGGGGCAGGGGUGACUUCCACUGGUUUGGACACCACCUUUACAAUGACAGCCUCCUGUUCUGGCUCUUCCUGGGAAGCCGGGAGCUCCGGUGUUGGAUCAGUCUUCCUCGGCCUUCCUCGUCUUCCCGAGCUACUCUUCUCCUCUCUUCCCCUCGCUCUCUUCCUCCUGCUCUCUACCCUGAAGUCAGACAAAUAGAAAUGUAAUCGUGGGUCGUCAUUAU
ensembl:lncRNA